rnacentral:misc_RNA from 1 species
AAGCACCCUCAUGUUGCGAACC